UCGGGAAUUUUGGGCAAUGGGCGAAAGCCUGACCCAGCAACGCCGCGUGAGGGAUGAAGUAUUUCGGUAUGUAAACCUCGAAAGAAUGGGAAGAAUAAAUGACGGUACCAUUUAUAAGCUCCGGCUAACUACGUGCCAGCAGCCGCGGUAAUACGUAGGGAGCAAGCGUUGUUCGGAUUUACUGGGCGCAAAGGGCGCGUAGGCGGCGCGGUAAGUCACUUGUGAAAUCUCUGAGCUUAACUCAGAACGGCCAAGUGAUACUGCUGUGCUAGAGUGCGGAAGAGGCAACCGGAAUUCUUGGUGUAGCGGUGAAAUGCGUAGAUAUCAAGAGGAACACCUGAGGCGAAGGCGGGUUGCUGGGCCGACACUGACGCUGAUGCGGGAAAGCCAGGGGAGCAAAC
rnacentral:rRNA from 1 species